UACGUAGGGUGCGAGCGUUGUCCGGAAUUAUUGGGCGUAAAGAGCUCGUAGGCGGCUUGUCACGUCGGAUGUGAAAGCCCGGGGCUUAACCCCGGGUCUGCAUUCGAUACGGGCAGGCUAGAGUGUGGUAGGGGAGAUCGGAAUUCCUGGUGUAGCGGUGAAAUGCGCAGAUAUCAGGAGGAACACCGAUGGCGAAGGCAGGUCUCUGGGCCACUACUGACGCUGAGAAGCGAAAGCAUGGGGAGCGAACAGG
rnacentral:rRNA from 1 species